CAUCCGCCUAUGCCCUAGGGCUAGUGGAAGACUUAAGAUGGCGGCGUUUGCACGGAGUGCAAUCACUGCGUCCUUACGGGGGUUGCAAGGCGUCCGAAGUAUGAGUCCACUAACAAAAGUCCAGAAACUCGCCAGUUAAUAGUAUUGUGUCUCUUCAAAAUAUCGGAGAAUAAUUUCUUUCUCGCUGAUCGCCUAACUUCUACUGACGAAGCUAGGAAGUUGCAGAAGAUGGAGUUCGCUCUUGUUGCCCAGGCUGGAAUGCAAUGGCAUGACCUUGGCUCACUGCAACCUCUGCCUCCCCAGUUCAAGUGGUUCUCCUGCCUCAGCCUCCCGAGUAGCUGAGAUUACAGGCUGGAGUGCAGUGGCGCAAUCUCGGCUCUCUGCAACCUUCACCUCCCGUGUUCAAGUGAUUCUCCUGCCUCAGCCUCCUGAAUACCUGAGAUUACAAGCAUGCACCACCACGCCCGUCUAAUUUUGUAUUUUCACUAGAGACGGGGUUUCUCCAUGUUGGUCAGGCUGGUCUCGAACUCCCGACCUCAGGUGAUCCGCCCGCCUCAGCCUCCCAAAGUGCUGGGAUUACAGGCAUGAGCCACCGCGUCCAGCAAGAAUAGGUGAUUUUCAAACUUGGAAACAUUCAGAAGUUAUCGCCUCAGUUUCAGAUUGAGUAGUCUCAAAGAGAUUACAGACAUCUACCACAAAUUCUCUACUUGGUGUGGUGCAAAAUCAGUAUGAUGUAAACUUUGUCUCUCAGUUUCUUCAAAGGAAAGAAGCAACUGGAACACACAUAUAACACUAACCCUUCCAGCUGCAUUAUGAGGGACCAGUACCUGUCUCAAGGCAAAAUUAUGACUUAGUUCAUCCUCACCUCUGGAGGCCAGUAAAAGUGGGUUAUAGAAGAACAAAGAGGCAUCUAGAUCUUUCACUGGGUUAUUUGGAGAGAAACAUCUCCUACCGAAGGCCAGUUUAACAAGACUGGUAGAGGAGGUUAUCUUAUCUAAUUCACAGAAAUCAACACAUUGAGUCAAGAAAAAUGAAACACAGAAACACUCUAAAUAAAAGAAGAUAAGUCUUCAGAAACCAACCCUAAUGAAAUGAAGAUAUGUGAUUAACCUGACAGGAAAUUAAAAAGAGCAACCAUAAAGAGUCUCAUGGGAGCAAUGCAUGAACAAACUGAGAAUUUUCAUAAAGAAAUAAAAGAUAACAAAAAGUAUAAAGUUGAAGAAUACAAUAACUGGACUCAAAAAUUUAAUGUGUCCAACAGAAGAAUCGAUGAAGCAGAAGAAAGGGCUAUCAAACUUGUAGAUAGGCCAUUGGAAAUCAUGUAAUGUGAGGAGAAAAAAGAAAAAAGAUUGAAGAUAGUUUAAGAGACUUUUGAGACAUCCUCAAAGGGGAAUAAUUUAUACAUUACCAGAUGGAGAAGAUAGAGGGAAAAGGACAGAAAACAUAUUUGAAGAAAUAAUGUCAGAAAACCUCAUAAUUCUGGCAAGGAAAUAGAAAUUUAGAUCUAAGAAUCUCGAACAUCAGGUAUGAUGAAUCCAAGGAGACUCACACCAAACCAUAUUGUAAUUAAAUAAAGGUUAAAGACAAUCUUCAGAGCAGCAAGGGAAUAGUCUCUUCUUACAUACAAAAUGAUCCACGGAAGACUGUCAGCAGACUUCACCAGAAAACUUUCACGCCAGAAGGCAGUCGUGAUAUAUACAAAAAGCUGAAAGGAAAACACUGCCAUCCAGGAAUACUAUCUCCAACUAUCCUGUGUUUCAAAAAUUAAGGAGAAAUAUAAAGUUCUCAAACAAAAGAUGUGGGAGUUUACCACCACUAGACCUGCACGGGAAGAAUUGCUAAAGGGAGUCCUUCAAGCUGUAGUAAAAGAGUGCUAAUUAGAAACAUGAAAAC
rnacentral:sRNA from 1 species